UACGAAGGGAGCUAGCGUUGUUCGGAAUUACUGGGCGUAAAGCGCACGUAGGCGGAUUGCUAAGUCAGGGGUGAAAUCCCGGGGCUCAACCUCGGAACUGCCUUUGAUACUGACAAUCACGAGUCCGAUAGAGGUGGGUGGAAUUUCUAGUGUAGAGGUGAAAUUCGUAGAUAUUAGGAAGAACACCGGUGGCGAAGGCGGCCCACUGGAUCGGUACUGACGCUGAGGUGCGAAAGCGUGGGGAGCAAACAGG
rnacentral:rRNA from 1 species